rnacentral:rRNA from 1 species
GACGAACGCUGGCGGCGUGCUUAACACAUGCAAGUCGAGCGGAGCGGCGAACGGGUGAGUAACGCGUGAGUAACUGCCCACCUCCCUGGGAUAACAGUUGGAAACGGCUGCUAAUACCGGAUAGUGGGGGAUGACUCGCGUCCUAUCAGCUUGUUGGUGGGGUAGUGGCCUACCAAGGCGACGCCGGGGAGCCGGCCUGGGAGGGCGACCGGCCACAGUGGUCUGGGAUAGGGCCCAAUCUCGUACGGGAGGCAGCAGUGGGGAGUAUUGCACAAUGGGGGAAAGCCUGAUACAGCAACGCCGCGGGCGGGAUGACGGCCUUCGGGUUGGAAACCGCGUUCAGCCAUGACGCGGUAGUGGCAGAAGAAGCACCGGCUAACUACGUGCCAGCAGCCGCGGUAAUAC